GGAAGUAGUUCAAUGGUAGAGCGCAUGCUUAGCACGCACAAUAUCUGGGUUCAAUCCCCAGUACCUCCC
rnacentral:tRNA from 1 species